AACGAAGGUGAUGACGUGUUCAUUUGUGAGUACGAGUAUGAUACACAUUGGCAUAGUUUCAAGCGUCUUGCGGAUAUU